UACUUCAUUUAAACUAUAAACUCAACGAGUAUAUUGCAUUUUUCUUAUUAGUUUGCUUCCAUUUUUUGUAACAUUUUGUAACAAUGCUUUUUAUUUUACUUUUUCAGGUUAAAGGAAAAGCACAUCCUAUCAAACAUCACAAGGUUGGUCAUCAUCACCGUCAUUGCAAUAAAUGUCCAUGCGGUGUAUCUGGUUUCACCGAGGAGCGCAUUAUCAAUGGAAAAAAAGUUGAAGAUUACAGAAAAUAUCCUUGGAUUGUCGGUAUAAUCCAUGAUAAAUCAGCGACACCAUGGGGUACAUGCGGUGGAGCUUUAAUUUCACCAACAUUUGUCUUAUCGGCAGCGCAUUGUUUUCGCAGAUACCUGUAAGUAAU